AAAAAGACAAACCCUGGAUUUUCGUGUCCAACGUUUGACUGUCCGUCUUAUAUGAAAUUUUUUUAUAAUUAGUAUUUUCAUUGUUGUUAGAUGAUAAAACAUGAUUAAUACUUUAUGCAUGACUUAUCUUUUUAAUUUUUUUCAUAAUUUUUAUAAAUAAGACGGACGGUCAAACGUUGGACAUGAAAAUCCAGGAUUUAUCUUUUU
rfam:Oryza sativa Japonica Group DNA, chromosome 1, cultivar: Nipponbare, complete sequence.